ACGAACGUUGGCGGCGUGCCUAAUGCAUGCAAGUCGAACGAGGGACCUCCUCCGGGUAACCGGAAGAGGUCACCUAGUGGCGAACGGGUGAGUAACACGUGAGAAACCUGCCCCGGAGACCGGAAUAGCCCAGGGAAACUUGGAUUAAUGCCGGAUGUCCUCGGAUGGUCGCAUGGCCGACCGAGGAAAAGUCCGCUGCUCCGGGAUGGUCUCGUGGCCUAUCAGCUUGUUGGUGAGGUAACGGCUCACCAAGGCGACGACGGGUAGCUGGUCUGAGAGGACGAUCAGCCACACUGGGACUGAGACACGGCCCAGACUCCUGCGGGAGGCAGCAGCAGGGAAUUUUGCACAAUGGACGAAAGUCUGAUGCAGCGACGCCGCGUGGGGGAUGAAUGCCUUCGGGUUGUAAACCCCUUUCAGGAGGGACGAAGCGAAAGUGACGGUACCUUCAGAAGAAGCCCCGGCCAACUACGU
rnacentral:rRNA from 1 species